rnacentral:rRNA from 1 species
UGAACUUAGCUUGCUAAGUUUGAUGGCGACCGGCGCACGGGUGAGUAACGCGUAUCCAACCUGCCUUACACUCUUGGACAGCCUUCUGAAAGGGAGAUUAAUACAAGAUGUUAUCAUGAGUAAGCAUUUUCGCAUGAUUAAAGGUUUACCGGUGUAAGAUGGGGAUGCGUUCCAUUAGAUAGUAGGCGGGGUAACGGCCCACCAAGCCAACGAUGGGUAGCCGAGCUGAGAGGCUGAUCGGCCACACUGGAACUGAGACACGGUCCAAACUCC